AAUACACCGGACACAGGUCACAGGUAGUAUGGAUGCGUCAUAAUCGUCACCGGUCAUUCGUCAACAUUAUUGCGAGCUUUUGUCGUUUUAUCGAAUCGCAUUUGAGAAACAUUUCCUGAUUUCCUUGUGCAACUUGUAUAAAUAUGGAGGAGAACCAUCCCCGAACCAUUCUCAAUAUUUACUGGACACCGAAUCGUACCGACGUCUAGUCACUACCAAGUCUACACCAUGCUGAAGGUAUUGUUUCUCCUGUCCUGCCUCGUCGCUAGCGGGCUCUGUACUUAUUAUGGGAAUUCCUACGGCUAUGGGUUGGGAUCAAUGUUAGACAAUGGAUUCGGAAGUGGUCUUGGACUUCUUGGUGGUGGAUAUGGAUAUGGAAACGGAUACGGAAAUUACUAUGGUCGCGGGGGGUACGGAC